rnacentral:rRNA from 1 species
GUAGGUGGCAAGCGUUGUCCGGAAUUAUUGGGCGUAAAGCGCGCGCAGGCGGUCCUUUAAGUCUGAUGUGAAAGCCCACGGCUCAACCGUGGAGGGUCAUUGGAAACUGGGGGACUUGAGUACAGAAGAGGAAAGCGGAAUUCCAAGUGUAGCGGUGAAAUGCGUAGAGAUUUGGAGGAACACCAGUGGCGAAGGCGGCUUUCUGGUCUGUAACUGACGCUGAGGCGCGAAAGCGUGGGGAGCAAACAGGGAUUAGAUACCCUGGUAGUCCACGCCGUAAACGAUGAGUGCUAAGUGUUAGGGGGUUUCCCGCCCCUUAGUGCUGCAGCUAACGCAUUAAGCACGCCGCCUGGGGAGUACGGCCGCAAGGCUG